rnacentral:rRNA from 1 species
GAUGAACGCUGGCGGCGUGCCUAACACAUGCAAGUCGAACGGAAAGGCGCUGCUUUUGCGGGGUGCUCGAGUGGCGAACGGGUGUGAAACACGCGAGUAACCUGUCCCUGACUGUGGGAGAACAUUAGGAAACUGGGGCUAAUACCGGAGAGGAGCUAUUGCUGCACGGGGGGGGUUGGAAAGUUACGGCGGUGGUGGAUGGACUCGCGGGUUACUAGCUAGUUGGUGGGGUAGUGGCUGACCAGGGCUUCGGCGGGUAGCCGGCAUGGGAGGGUGGCCAGCGUCAUUAGGCCUGCGGUAGGGACCAGAAUCCAACGGGAGGCAGCGGUGGAAAAUAUUGCGCAGUAAGGGCGAGCCUGAUGCGGCAGCGCCGCGUGCGUAAAGACGGCCUUCUGGUUAUGAACCGCUUUGGCAUGAGCCGAGGCGUGAGUGACGGUAAUGAGUCAAGAAGCACCGGCUAACUACGUG